CAGUAGCCGCGGUAAUACGAAGGGUGCAAGCGUUAAUCGGAAUUACUGGGCGUAAAGCGCGCGUAGGUGGUUUGGUAAGAUGGAUGUGAAAUCCCCGGGCUCAACCUGGGAACUGCAUCCAUAACUGCCUGACUAGAGUACGGUAGAGGGUGGUGGAAUUUCCUGUGUAGCGGUGAAAUGCGUAGAUAUAGGAAGGAACACCAGUGGCGAAGGCGACCACCUGGACUGAUACUGACACUGAGGUGCGAAAGCGUGGGGAGCAAACAGGAUUAGAUACCCCGGUAGUCCCUGUCUCUUAUAC
rnacentral:rRNA from 1 species